GAUGGCAUCAUUAGAUAUUUAAAGUUUCGGCGGUACGGGAUGGGCAUGCGUAACAUUAGCUAGUUGGUAGGGUAACGGCCUACCAAGGCAACGAUGUUUAGGGGUCCUGAGAGGGUGAUCCCCCACACUGGUACUGAGACACGGACCAGACUCCUACGGGAGGCAGCAGUGAGGAAUAUUGGUCAAUGGGCGCAAGCCUGAACCAGCCAUCCCGCGUGGAGGAAGACGGCGCUAUGCGUUGUAAACUUCUUUUCCAGAGGAAUAAAAUUUUGUACGGGUACAGAACUGAAGGUACUCUGGGAAUAAGCAUCGGCUAACUCCGUGCCAGCAGCCGCGGUAAUACCGGAGGAUGCAAGCGUUAUCCGGAUUUAUUGGGUUUAAAAGGGUGCCGUA
rnacentral:rRNA from 1 species